GACGUAGGGCGCGAGCGUUGUCCGGAUUUAUUGGGCGUAAAGAGCUCGUAGGCGGCUUGUCGCGUCGACUGUGAAAACCCGCGGCUCAACUGCGGGCCUGCAGCCGAUACGGGCAGGCUAGAGUUCGGUAGGGGAGACUGGAAUUCCUGGGUGUAGCGGUGAAAUGCGCAGAUAUCUGGAGGAACACCGGUGGCGAAGGCGGCGAUCCUGGACCGGUAGUUGACGCUGACGUGCGCGAAAGCCAGGGGAGCAA
rnacentral:rRNA from 1 species